UCCCGGCUAGCUCAGUUGGUAGAGCGCUUGACUCUUACUUUGUAGAGAUGUCCACAAAUCUUAGGAAUAUCAAGAUGUCGAGGGUUCGAGCCCCUCGUUGGGAG